rnacentral:lncRNA from 1 species
AAAAGAAGAAGAAAUAAAAGCAAAAGUAAACAGUAUUGGUCACUUACCUUCUCUGUUAUGUCAUGAUAUCUACUUGGAAUCCUCAUUUCCAGAUUGCAAUUCUCUAUUCGUAACUUGGUGAGCUGUGGCAUACCUUCUUCCUCCACUAAUAAUUCCUUGAGUCUGUAUAAUCCCGAAAUAUUCAACACUUGAAGUUGAGGAAAAUUAUUAGGCCCUCCUCCAAAACAAACCAUCAUCUUCUCCCCAAUGUAGGAGUCACGACCAAAUUUAAGGAUCUUUAAUUUAGGUAGUAUCUUUAGAGUGUCCAUUGGAUCCGCUUUCAAGAAAGUGCGAAUGAGGGUAAGUCUUGAUGAGGUUUUGCGCAGUUUAUAAUAUUCUGGCCACUUCUUUCAUGGGCACGUACAAUGCACCUAAAAAGAUUCUCAUACGAUGGCAUAAUUCCAAUCCAUGAUAUUAUUGCAUGAUGAGGCAGACAAACGCAGCCCAUCCGCAAGAUUCUCUAUCUUGUGUGGUGCGAUGAUGAAUCGAGUAGCAACCUUGGCUUUUGACAAGUUUAGAAUCACUCUCCCAAGAUAAAUCAUAGUUUUUUUUAAAUUGGUAAAUUUUUGAAAUGAGUAAUUGUCGGGAAACACAGAACCCAAGCCAAUAGAGGGUCCUGGAGAUUUACAUAAUCAGAUUAUUCAGUUGAAUGCAAGACCGUACCAUCGAAUUUCCUUAUACAGAAUUCAAGAGCAAAUAUGUCUCAACUUCUUCAUGUUCAAUAUAAUAUGCUGAAUGACCAUGUGGUAAAAUCCUCUCAUAUCCAAUGUCACUAAAUUUUCAAGAUUGCUAAUUGUGGUAGGAAGUUCAACAUACGCACGAUUUUGCAUACAUAAUCGAACAUAACUCAAGUGUCUCAACUUUCCAAUUUCACUUGGCAAAGCAAUAGAAGGCCUUCUACAAUCUAGACUUAGCACUCAGAAGACAUUUCGAUUCUCGAAAAUACUUCUUAGCAUGUUUCCUUUUAAUUUUACUCCAAUCAUCCCUAACAAAACAUAGCACUGCACGAAGUUCAACAGUUCUAAAGUUGUUGAAAAAAGUGCUAACACUGAGAUUGCUACUAUGAGAAGUGACUCUACGCACUCGUAAUACCCAGAAUGCAGGUAACUAACUUCAUCGUAAUAGCGAUGAAUAAGCUAGUCUCCUUGCCACCUUCACACAAAGACUAUGCAAAAUAUCAUGAAUUGCGUAAUACUUUUAAUACCGUCCUCAAUUUCCUUUUCCUUUCCUUUCCUCCGUCCCACUAGGAUCACGUUUUUUUUAGGGUUUUUUUUUUCCUAGAAAUCAAAGUGAUUUAAAUAUCCUCCCCCAUCUCGCCUCCUCUGCUCCCCCCCGCUCUCACUACCUCGAAUAAAUCCUUCUCCUGCCCACAUAUUGAUUAUGUCGAAUGCAUCAUUUCAUAAUCCUCCUCUGGAAAAAGCCCGAAUAGAGGAAGCAUGGUUUCAAUGUGUCGUAAAUCUUUGUAACUCAAAGUAAAUAUCUCAAACAUUGGUCUUUCUCUCCACCUAUGCCCCUAACACACCUUCCCAUGCAUGUACCGUUUCUCUCUCUAUGUUACAACAUCUCUACUAUACAAUUGCAAAGCGGCACACCACCACAUCUUCUUUAAUAUUUGCAUCGCCUAUGUUUCUGCAAUUGUGGAGGGUCAACUUGCUUCUUUCAUAAUCCUGCACUUCCCUAUCCAUUUUGAAAAAGAGGUUUCUACUGUUCUCAUGUCUAAGGGUUUUGUACUCCAAUAAGGAGCUUUGUCACCGAUAUGUUUCCUACAUUCUCUAUUUCCGAGAAUAAGAGUAUUCUACUGCCACUAUCAAAAUUAUAAGGGAUUCCAGUCUUUAUUCAUCCCAAUGUUUCUUUCCCAUAUAUCAUGAUGACUAUUACAUACCUUGUGGCAUAAAAAGUUAUUCGACAAUUAGCCUCAACGUCAUGCUCCCUUCUCUUUCUCAAGCCAACCUGUCUUGCUAUUCUCCCGCAGAAGCUCUGUCAUGUUUUGGCUGUUGAGAACAUAAAUCAAGCUGAACACUCGAAACUUUGUCGACAAGAGUUAUACACUUUUUUACGAUUGUUGUCUUGCCCAGACCCAAUAGACCGGCCCAUCCCAGUAAUUGAGACGGACACGAUGUUGUGAGACUCGGCUGUAUACUAGCCAACCAGUUUUAUGAUGUGUUUCUUUCAAAACCAAUAAAUAUUUGUUCGUCAAGAUGAGGAAAGAUCGUCUGCCAUUCCAUGUGCCUUCUUCAACCACUAUGUUCUUCUUGGAUCCAUAAGUUUGCCUGCGCGAUUAAUGUCAUUUAACCUUUUUCUUUAAAUAAUCCCUUUAAAUCUGCCACAAAAUUACAAGCAUUGUAAAUGUACCGAAAAUCCCCCGAGCAGUCCUUAUCGCCGAAGAACCCUUUCCUCUUGGCUGAUGCAUCGCAAGGAAUAUUUGUCCUAAAAUGUCCCCUCCACAUUCAAACCAAGGCCC